UUUGUCAUGUUUGUCCUUUGCAUUGGACUCUCAAUUUUUUUUUUUCAGAAGAGCUGUUUGCUGAGAGCACAAUUCCUUUAAACCUCUCCUCUUGCACUUUCCUUCCAUGACUCGACACUGGCUUUUUCUUCAGGGCUGAUUUUUCACAAAUAAUCUGCAUUUGUGUCAAUUCAUGAGAAUGAUACAACGUGGAUGAGAGCGAAGCCUGGGUCAUGGAGGACCUCGAGAUCUUGGGUAGUGAGUGGGCUGGCCUCUCCCAGGAGCGAGGAGGCCUGGGCCCACCAGCAGCUCCGCUGUCCCAAGAGAGGGAUUCGGGCCCCACAGGCUACAAAUGCCGCCCAUCCUGGGGUGUGGUGGUUUUGAGGGCCGAUCUCCGAAUAUCUCCUGUCUCCCGCCAGACUCUUCCCCGUCUCCUUGGAAAGUCAUAGCAUCUUCUUCCUCUGUGAGCCUGGGUCCCGGUGUGCAGAAGUCCCAGCUGUCCCUGAGAUGGAAAUGAGGCCUUUGAGAGAAUGAACUGUCUCCUCUUGGGAACCGCUGAGAUCUGGGUCAUGCCCGUUACCGAAGUGGAACCCGCCUGUCCUGGUCGCACCCAGAGUCAUUUCGCAAAAUCAGAAACUUCCAGUGUGAAAUCUGGGAAGCACCGUUGUUGUCUUUCCAGCUCAUUUCUGUAACGGCUUUUCAUCUCCCAAACCCGCAGGCUUUGAUCAAGUCAAAUCUGUGCAUCUGCCUUUUGGAAUAAAUGUUACAAACUGAAAAAAAAAAGAUGCAUUUUCUCCUCUGACUUGCCUUCAGCGAGGACCCGGGAAUUCAUUACUGUGAUGGUUAAUUUUAUGGGGCAACGUGACUGUUCAGGGAGCGUCCAGAUAGUUAAUUAAACGUGAUUUCUGGGUGUGUCUUUGAGGGGAGAUGAGAUUCGCAUUUGAAUCGGUGGAUGGAGGCAAGCAGGUUGUUUCCUAACGUGGAUGGUCACCAUCUAAUCCACUGAGGGCCUGAACAGAACAAAAAGGUGGAAGAAGGGAGAGUUUGCUCUUUGUGCCUGAUGGUUUGAGCUGGGACAUCAGUCUUCUCCUGCCCUCGGACUGGGACUGGCACCACUGGCCGCCGGGUUCUCGAGCUUUUGUAAGGCAGACUGGGCCUACACCACCAGCUUUCCUGGGCCUCCAGCUUGCAGACGGCAGAUCGUGGGACUUCUCAGUCUCCAUAGCCACACUCAUCUGAUCAUUCAUCUGUUCAACAAACACGUAGUGGGCUCCGUUCUGUGGCCAGAACUCAGAUGGCCACUGAAGAAACAGAAACAAAUGAGACACAAUUCCAACUCAGAGGUAGAAGUUGGGCCUAGUCAACAUUUUCUGAAGACCUACUAAGUGCCAGGCCCAUCCAAGGCUGCGAGGAUCCUUAGAUGGUGAAAAAAUAAACUGGGGCACCGAGAAGCCAACUGACUUGCCCAAGGACACAGAGAAUCCCGACGUACAGCAGGCCUGGGAACUAGGCAGGCUUCUUAAUGGCUGAUUUGAUUGCUCAGGUCCCAGUCGUUCCCUCAAUUUGGUCACAAAGGUUACCUCGCUCCAGAAACAAUCAAUGGAUCACUAACAUAUGCGGCAUGUUUUCACCUCCUUUCAGACCACAGGACAUUCUAGAAACAGACUGCCAAGUCAUUUUAAAGCUGUGAACAUUCAAAUGGCUUGUGUUGCUGAGCCCAUGCUGAACACACGAAUUUCAAGCCUUUGUGCAGCUCUGAUUGUUCAAAAGCAGCUAAUAGGUGGGGAGGGAGAAUAAGGCAACACUGGAUGUCUUCCGUUUAGGACAGCAGAAACAGAACUUCUGCUAGAAGAUGGGAGAUGUCAUUAACCUUCAUGCUGACACCGACCUCUGCAGAGGCCCUGUGGAGGCACAGGCUGGAAGUGAGGUCUUUAAAAGUAUUUGUGGCUUUAAUGGGCACUCAACUUGGCCAACAGUGACCGUGAAUUCUCUCCUACCAGACAAAGGGACAAUUUGGCACAAGUGUGAGGGGGUGAGAACAAGGGAAAUGCAGAGGAAAAGGAAAAGAGCUCAUUAACAAGUCCUUUCCACUGUUCACUCGGAGAGGAUGACAGAGUGGAGAGAAAGUGGGGCCCAGUCUAGAGGGGGCCCGUGACUUGCUCUCCCAUCCUCCUUUGCAGUGAGCCAUGGGCACAUGACUGGCUGUAGCCAGUGGAAUCCGAGGAGCACCUGUUGAGGGGCGUGGGUGAGGAGGGGGCGGUCCUGGGAAAGAUUUGCCAGAUCUGCUGAAACAGAGACGUGCUGACGAGAAGUUUCCCUGCCUGCUUCACUGCAUGCUAUGUGUGAACACAACAGGCUUAGAGAUGCAGCCGCCAUGUGAGGACUACACUUGAGAGGCUGACAGAACUGCAUAGAAAUCCACCUGGACCUCACAUUUUGUUACGGAAUCACACUCAGAGCUAACUACCUUUAGCCUUCUUGCUAUGUGUUGGGGGCGGGGGAGUGGGGGGCAUCAGUGUUUAAACCAUUUCUAGACUGAGGUUUCAUUAAUCUAGUCAAAUUUUUAAGUAGACUAGAAAUAUGGCUGGUUUGGGAACUUCCAGAAGCCCUCUUAUCACUCCAGAGAGCCCAAGAAUGACACUAUGAUGAACAGAGUGCAAGUAACAGGAUCCCGAUGACACUGUUUGAGCCCCUGAAUCUAUCAGUACCUGGAGACUGACCUCUGAAUUUUUCAGUUAUAUGAAUUGCCGAAAUAGGUUCAAGUUGAGUUUCUCUUGCAAUCUACUACGUUAAACUUUAAACUUCUGCAUAACGAAGGAUGCCAUUAAAUAUUUAAAAAUAUAUGCCCAAAGAUGUUCUCUAUGGUAAUAUUAAUAACAGCGAAAGUAAAUGAAUGAAUGAUACACAAAUAAAUGGAAAACAUCCACAGAUUUACAACUCGGUGGUUGAUGGUCCAUCCAUACGACACAUGACUACAUCAACGCUUAAAGGAGAGAGGUAGGCCAAUACAUACUUCCAGAGAAUUACACAGCCAAGACUUC